CAAACCAGACCACACAUCUCAACAUCACUCAACUCUGUCACACGUGUCCAGGACUGAGGCAUCAUCUCAUACCACUGAUCGUUGCAGUGCUGCUUGUAAUUGUGGUUUUUGGCCUCAUGUUCAGCUGCUGGAUGAACUCUAAUCAGACCAGAGAACAGGAAGCCUGAAGGAUCUGAUUAUUCAUGCUGUGUUCCCUCAUUCAGUGUUUAUUACUAAACAUUGUGUCUCAAGCUGCUAACAGUAGCACACAGUUGAGUACUGAAGGAGUUAUAGGAAUACAUAUGAAGGAAUAUGGAUUAGUUCCCAUUCAAAACUGGAUGUAAAACCUUCGGUUGGAACAUGAAGAAACACACACACACACACACACACACACUUCCUCCUGAUGACAGUAUUACAUGUAAACACUUUACUGCUGUCUACAGCCGUCCAUACGAAGGCCAAUUUCAUGAACUCUAUUGUCUAUCUCUCAAAUAUAACCCAUUGUAGAAUUGCUGCUGUCUCUUUAUGAAUGAAUGGAAGAUUCACGUUAGACAAUGUGGAGUAAUAAAUCGCAGUGAAUUUUCAGACUAGGGGUGUCCUGGGAUUUUAACAAAGUGCUCAUAGUCCUUUUUUUUAAUACAAAACAUUCUCAAAACAACAUAAGAUGACAGUUAUAAAGGGCUUAUUAUA